rnacentral:tRNA from 1 species
GGAGGGGUGACCGAGAGGCCGAAGGUGGCAGUCUUGAAAACUGUUGGGGUAACCCCCCCGUGGGUUCGAAUCCCACCCCCUCCG